CAAUAGCGUAUAUUAAAGUUGUUGCAGUUAAAAGCUCGUAGUUGGAUUUGUGGUGUAUGCAGGCGGCCCGGCACUUUGUGCUGGUGUUUGCUUGCGUCGCCAUCCUUGGGUGGAUCCUGUGUGGCAUUAAGUUGUCGUGCAGGGGAUGCCCAUCGUUUACUGUGAAAAAUUAGAGUGUUCAAAGCAGGCUUACGCCGUUGAAUAUAUUAGCAUGGAAUAAUAAGAUAGGACCUUGGUACUAUUUUGUUGGUUUGCGCACCAAGGUAAUGAUUAAUAGGGACAGUUGGGGGUAUUCGUAUUUCAUUGUCAGAGGUGAAAUUCUUGGAUUUUUGAAAGACGAACUACUGCGAAAGCAUUUACCAAGGAUGUUUUCAUUAAUCAAGAACGAAAGUUAGGGGAUCGAAGAUGAUCAGAUACCAU
rnacentral:rRNA from 1 species